GACGAACGCUGGCGGCGUGCCUAACACAUGCAAGUCGAACGGAAGUAAGACUCCGGUUUUACUUUAGUGGCGAACGGGUGAGUAACGCGUGAGAAACCUGCCUUUCAGUGGGGGACAGCAGUUGGAAACGACUGCUAAUACCGCAUAAUGUAUCUGGACCGCAUGAUCUGGAUACCAAAGCUUUAUGUGCUGAAAGAUGGUCUCGCGUCUGAUUAGCUAGUUGGUGGGGGAACGGCCUACCAAGGCGAUGAUCAGUAGCCGGUCUGAGAGGAUGAACGGCCACAUUGGGACUGAGACACGGUCCAG
rnacentral:rRNA from 1 species